GAUGAACGCUGGCGGCGUGCCUAAUACAUGCAAGUCGAGCGAACGGACGAGAAGCUUGCUCCUCUGAUGUUAGCGGCGGACGGGUGAGUAACACGUGGAUAACCUACCUAUAAGACUGGGAUAACUUGGGAAACCCGAGCUUAUUCCCGAUAAUUUUUUGAAACCCCUGGUUUCAAAAUGAAAAAAGGUCUUGCUGUCACCUAAUGAUGGAACCCCGCUGCAUUAGCUAGUUGGUAAGGUAACGGCUUACCAAGGCAACGAUGCAUAGCCGACCUGAGAGGGUGAUCGGCCACACUGGAACUGAGACACGGUCCAGACUCCUACGGGAGGCAGCAGUAGGGAAUCUUCCGCAAUGGGCGAAAGCCUGACGGAGCAACGCCGCGUGAGUGAUGAAGGUCUUCGGAUCGUAAAACUCUGUUAUUAGGGAAGAACAAAUGUGUAAGUAACUAUGCACAUCUUGACGGUACCUAAUCAGAAAGCCACGGCUAACUACGUG
rnacentral:rRNA from 1 species